AUUGAACGCUGGCGGAAUGCUUUACACAUGCAAGUCGAACGGCAGCGCGGACUUCGGUCUGGUGGCGAGUGGCGAACGGGUGAGUAACAUAUCGGAACGUAUCCAAUAAUGGGGGAUAACGAGUCGAAAGAUUCGCUAAUACCGCAUACGCCCUACGGGGGAAAGCUGGGGACCUUCGGGCCUGGCGUUAAUGGAGCGGCCGAUAUCUGAUGAGCUAGUUGGUGAGGUAAAGGCUCACCAAGGCGACGAUCAGUAGCUGGCCUGAGAGGACGACCAGCCACACUGGAACUGAGACACGGUACAGACUCCUACGGGAGGCAGCAGUGGGGAAUUUUGGACAAUGGGCGCAAGCCUGAUCAAGCCAUUCCGCGUGAGUGAAGAAGGCCUUCGGGUUGUAAAGCUCUUUCGCAAGGGAAGAAAACUUAGCCACUAACAUUGGUUGAGGUUGACGGUACCUUGAUAAGAAGCACCGGCUAACUACGUGCCAGCCGCCGCCGUAA
rnacentral:rRNA from 1 species